rnacentral:rRNA from 1 species
AUAGUAAGUCAGUGGUGAAAUCCCCCGGCUCAACCGGGAACUGCCAUUGAUACUGCUGUUCUAGAGUUUAGUUGAAGUGGGCGGAAUGUAGCAUGUAGCGGUGAAAUGCAUAGAUAUGCUACAGAACACCGAUUGCGAAGGCAGCUCACUAAGCUAAAACUGACGCUCAGGCACGAAAGCGUGGGGAUCAAACAGGAUUAGAUACCCUGGUAGUCCACGCUGUAAACUAUGAUCACUCGUUGUUGGCGAUACACUGUCAGCGACUGAGCGAAAGUAUUAAGUGAUCCACCUGGGAAUUACGAUCGCAAGGUUGAAACUUAAAGGAAUUGACGGAGGCCCGCACAAGCGGUGGAACAUGUGGUUUAAUUCGAUGAUACGCGAGGAACCUUACCUGGGCUUAAAUGUGAAGUGCAUUGAUUGGAAACAAUCAUUUCCUUCGGGACCCUUUACAAGGUGCUGCAUGGUUGUCGUCAGCUCGUGCCGUGAGGUGUCGGGUUAAGUCCCAUAACGAGCGCAACCCCUAUUGUUAGUUACCAGCGCGUAAAGGCGGGGACUCUAGCGAAACUGCCGGUGUAAACCGCGAGGAAGGUGGGGAUGACGUCAAAUCAGCACGGCCCUUAUGUCCAGGGCUACACACGUGUUACAAUGGCCGGUACAGCGGGCAGCUAGGCAGCGAUGUCAUGCUAAUCCCGAAAGCCGGUCCCAGUUCGGAUUGGAGUCUGCAACCCGACUCCAUGAAGGUGGAAUCGCUAGUAAUCGCGCAUCAGCCAUGGCGCGGUGAUACGUUCCCGGGCCUUGUACACACCGCCCGUCAAGCCAUGGAAGUCUGGGGUGCACUGAAGGCCGUAACCGCAAGGAGCGGUCUAGGGUAAA